rnacentral:rRNA from 1 species
CACGUAGGGUGCGAGCGUUGUCCGGAAUUAUUGGGCGUAAAGAGCUCGUAGGCGGUGUGUCGCGUCAGCCGUGAAAACCUGCAGCUUAACUGUGGGCGUGCGGUCGAUACGGGCAUCACUGGAGUUCGGCAGGGGAGACUGGAAUUCCUGGUGUAGCGGUGAAAUGCGCAGAUAUCAGGAGGAACACCGGUGGCGAAGGCGGGUCUCUGGGCCGAUACUGACGCUGAGGAGCGAAAGCGUGGGGAGCGAACAGG